UCCGUAGGUGAACCUGCGGAAGGAUCAUNA
rnacentral:rRNA from 1 species